UGGGGAAUAUUGGACAAUGGGCGCAAGCCUGAUCCAGCCAUGCCGCGUGAACGAUGAAGGCCUUAGGGUUGUAAAGUUCUUUUGUCAGGGAAGAUAAUGACGGUACCUGAAGAAUAAGCACCGGCUAACUUCGUGCCAGCAGCCGCGGUAAUACGAAGGGUGCUAGCGUUGUUCGGAAUCACUGGGCGUAAAGCGCGCGUAGGCGGCGAUAUAAGUCAGAGGUGAAAGCCUGGAGCUCAACUCCAGAACUGCCUUUGAAACUAUAUUGCUAGAGUGUCGGAGGGGAUAGCGGAAUUGCUAAUGUAGAGGUGAAAUUCGUAGAUAUUAGCAGGAACACCGGUGGCGAAGGCGGCUAUCUGGACGACAACUGACGCUGAGGCGCGAAAGCGUGGGGAUCAAACAGGAUUAGAUACCCAAGUAGUCCCUGAGCGGGCUGGCAAGGCGCAU
rnacentral:rRNA from 1 species